rnacentral:lncRNA from 1 species
AUGCAUUUGCAAGUAAGUCACAAGAAGGCCAUCCCUACCGGAAACCCCUGCUUUAAAAGAAGGAAUCACUCAGGCGAAAGGAGCGGUUUUCCGAAGCAGCCGGAUCAAAGUGAAAUCGCUCAGAAUAGCCUGCUCGCAGGUUUCCUUUCGCUCAUAGGUUCACGCAGAGUGUCAGGCGCUCGGCCGCCGGAUCCGGCCCCUCCGGCGCGGAGAAAUUCAGCGGGACGCUCCGCGAGGAGGUCCUCUCUCCGCUCACCCCCAGAGUAUCCUGGGAUUUCCUUUUUUUUUUUUUUUAAAGACUUUAAAAAUAAUUUGGUGGAUCUCUAAUCUAGUUAUCUGCUGUAACUGCAAUAUGCGCUGUAUGUCUGACUCCCACAGACGAAGGCCUCUGUUUCCUUUCUGCCAGUACCUUAGUAUCUGCCUUGCCCAGGAGUCUGCUGAUGAAGACUUCCUGUUUGUUUUGAGUCACUGCUGGAGUGAUAAAUAUACUUCAGCUUUUCUCCUCCGAGAGGAAAGAAACCAGCUGCCCUGAACUACAGAGAAAAUAUGUAGAAAUUCCACCAAAGGGCCCUGUUAUCAUGGAGCUUCUAUGGAAGCAUGAAAAACCCAGUAAUACAAGCUAUGACAAAGGAACAAUUUACAUAUUAAAACGGCCUUCCGCCCGCGCGGACUGAAGUUGUUUGCCUUUAAUCAUUUAUUUUCACUCUAUAACUUUAAUUUGGAACGAUUUGGAGAUAAAUAAAUAAAUGCAAAACCCCCA